GAUUCGGGCAAUUGGUCCAUCUUUUAGAUGAGUACUGGUUGUGUUGGGUCUAUCCGCCUGGUGAUACGUAAUGUCCUUUAUUGGGUGUUGCGGGUAGUCAGGACCUUUACCUCGAAAAAAUUAGAGUGUUCAAAGCAGGCCUACGCCUGAAUACGUUAGCAUGGAAUAAUAGAAUAGGACGUGCGGUUCUAUUUUGUUGGUUUCUAGAGUCGCCGUA
rnacentral:rRNA from 1 species